UACGGGGGGGGUAAGCGUUGUUCGGAAUUACUGGGCGUAAAGGGCUCGUAGGCGGCCAACUAAGUCAGACGUGAAAUCCCUCAGCUUAACUGGGGAACUGCGUCUGAUACUGGAUGGCUUGGAUUCGGGAGAGGAAUGCGGAAUUCCAGGUGUAGCGGUGAAAUGCGUAGAUAUCUGGAGGAACACCUGUGGCGAAAGCGGCUCACUGGACCACAACUGACGCUGAUGCACGAAAGCUAGGGGAGCAAACAGG
rnacentral:rRNA from 1 species